AUAAAUUUGAUGAUUCCAGGUCUGUUAUUUUUAGAAACAUGAAAAUCUCCAUGAUUUUGCCGUUUACCGGCAACUAGUUAGUUGCCAACAAAGCUGACGCUAAACCUGGACGUAAUGCUGGAAGAAUUUUUACGGCCUGAGGGUCAGGUAAGACAUCAUCGCCUCGUUUUGCGUGUUACGCUCAUAUACGUAACCACUUGUUUUUUUUUUUUUUGUACUUGCAGAUAUGCACCACUUAAUUUCCCCAAAGUCCCAAAGUCAUACCAUUUGAUUUGGACCCGUAGAGCAUUUCCAUUUGGGAAUAUUGUAUUUUUUCUUAAAUAAGGACCCCAUAAGGAUUCAUUUUAGAACAAUUUUGAUUUUAAUAAUUUAAUUUUUUAACAAAUUUGAUGUCAUAUGCACUUAUUUAUGCUUUUAAGAAUUUUAGACUUCGGGCCCUUCCACGUGGGGCCUUGGCAACGCUACGCGGGUCGGCCUCCUAGUUGAAGUGGGGUGGGGGAGGAGGGGGAGGAUAGGAAAAAUCUAUUACUGAUUUUAGUAUUUAUUAAAUAUUUAUAUUUAUUUUUUUUACCAUUCACAGCUUAAAAUUGAUUCUUAUAUUUUGCAGUGGCAAUGAUUUUAAAAGCAUUAGUUUUAAAGGGGGUAGUUUUAUUUUAAAAAUAUCUGAAGAAAAUGUCUGCGCCCGCGCAGUGUCAUCCCCCUGGGGGGAUGACUCCUCCCGUACCUACGAACCCAAAGUCAAAGAAACCCGUUUAAGCCAGGCCCCGGACAUUAUGGUCAUCCGUAUUAAUUGGACCCAUUGAUAUCCAUCCGGAUCCGAAAAGCUUUCCGGUCAGCUCACGUUUCCCCAAACAGACGUCACACUGCCGGCCGUGGGAGGUGACGUCGUAUAUGACCUAUACGCAACAAUCGAGCACUGGAUUUACAUCCAUAUUGAGGGCAAGGAAAAAAAGGAAACAAAUCACUACCUGGCAUUUUGCCAAAACGAACUAGAGAACGGCUGGCAGCAUGCACAUCAAGACUGCUGAGAAGGAUGGAUGAACUGAUGUCAUGGGCAAGAAUGAAGAUCAAGCCCUCCAAGUCUCGCAACCUGUCAAUCAGGAGAGGGGUCAGGAAUGACAGCAGCACCUUUGUUGUUGGGGGGGAGAAGAUUCCACUUCUCGUAGAACAGCCCAUCAAAAGCUUGGGGAGGCAGUACACCGCAGAGCUGUCCGACAAACAGAUGGGCUGCUUAAACCGGGCCCCGGACAUUAUGGUCAUCCAUAUUAAUUGGACCCACUGGUAUGCGCCCGUAUCCAGAAAACUUUCCGGUACUCUCACUUUUCCCCGAACAGGCCUCACACUGCCGACCGUGGAAGGUGACGUCGUAUAUGAUCUGUAUGCAACAAUAGAGCAUUGGAUUUACAUUCGUAUUGUGAAAAACAAAAAAGAGGAGGCAAACCACUACAUCGCAUUUUGCCAAAACCAACUCGACAGCAGCUGGACUAAAUUUGAUGAUUCCAGGGUGGAUUCCGUGAACACAGACAUGGUGUCUUCCCAUCACUGCACUCAGGAAGCCGAUAAAAACGGAACCGUUGAAGUUCUUUUUUACAAGAAGCGCCAUAAAGUGAACGCCAGCCAGUUGGAAAACGCCAUCGUGAGAGAAAUUUUUACCACCGACUGGAGGGAAACCAAUUCCUGUCCAUGCUCGGACUCUCCAAAGACCUCCGAGAGGCGCGAGUGGUACAUCCAGCUUACUGUUCCUUUUGUGCAGGUCAGACGCAUGCACCAAACAAAAAUAAGCCCGCAGCCAAGUUGGAUAACGAACGUUCCUUUCACAGGAUUAUACAACAAAGCUGAGGCUGAACCUGAACAAAAUGCUCAGAUAAUUGUUACAGCCGGAUGGUCAGAUAUGCAGCAGCUGCUCUGCACCCAAAGACACAGACACCUGCUUAAGCCGGGCCCCGGACAUUAUGGUCAUCCAUCUUAAUUGGACCCACCGGUAUGUGUCCAAAUCCAGAAAACUUUCCGGUGCUCUCACUUUUCCCCACACAAGCCUCACACUGCCGACCGUGGGAGGUGACGUCGUAUAUGAUCUAUACGCAACAAUUGAGCAUUGGAUUUACUUCGUAGAGCGGAACGCAUUCGGAAACGCAACAGGCGGAAGCAGAAGGAGCGAAGUAGCUUCUUCAAGGAUCCCUUUAAGCAUGCCAGACAGCUGCUGGAG